rnacentral:misc_RNA from 1 species
UUCUAAGAAUUUGCUUUCUUGUUUAUCAGACAGUUCAAAAUAUGGUAGUUUCAGGGAGCUGCUGGCAGGCUGACAACAUGCCAUGAGAUUCCCAUGAGCAAGAUGCUGCCAAAGCAAUGAGUGUGUUCACAAGGAAAGGCCACAUCACCCCGGUGGGGUAGACGGAGUUCCCUCUAAAGGGCAUCUUUGGAUAAUGAUCCUUCCGCAGGUUCACCUACGGAAA